rnacentral:rRNA from 1 species
UCCGAAGGGGGUUAGCGUUGCUCGGAAUCACUGGGCGUAAAGCGCACGUAGGCGGAUUGUUAAGUCAGGGGUGAAAUCCUGGAGCUCAACUCCAGAACUGCCUUUGAUACUGGCGAUCUCGAGUCCGGGAGAGGUGAGUGGAACUGCGAGUGUAGAGGUGAAAUUCGUAGAUAUUCGCAAGAACACCAGUGGCGAAGGCGGCUCACUGGCCCGGUACUGACGCUGAGGUGCGAAAGCGUGGGGAGCAAACAGG